rnacentral:rRNA from 1 species
CACGUAAGGGGCGAGCGUUGUUCGGAAUCAUUGGGCGUAAAGGGCACGCAGGCGGCAAAGCAAGUCUGAUGUGAAAGAUCCCGGCUUAACCGGGGGGACGCAUUGGAAACUGCUUAGCUAGAGUGGUUUAGGGGAGACUGGAAUUCCUUGUGUAGGGGUGAAAUCUGUAGAUAUAAGGAAGAACACCGGUGGCGAAGGCGAGUCUCUGGGAACCAACUGACGCUGAGGUGCGAAAGCGUGGGGAGCGAACAGG